rnacentral:rRNA from 1 species
UGCGAUGCAUUAGCUAGUUGGUAAGGGUAACGGGCUUUACCCAAGGCGAUGAUGCAUAGCCCGAGUUGAGAGACUGAUCGGGCCACAUUGGGACUGAGACACGGCCAAAACUCCUACGGGGAGGCAGCAGUAGGGAAUCUUCCACAAUGGACGAAAGUCUGAUGGAGCAAACGCCGCGUGAAUGAAGAAGGUUUUCGGAUCGUAAAAGCUCUGUCGUUGGUGAAGAAGGAUAGAGGUAGUAACUGGCCUUUAUUUGACGGUAAUCAACCAGAAGUCACGGCUAACUACGUGCCAGCAGCCGCGGUAAU